rnacentral:ncRNA from 1 species
GAUUGAGCUAUUUCGAGAAAUACGGAUAAAAGUUACUCUAGGGAUAACAGGCUGAUCUUCCCCAAGAGUCCACAUCGACGGGAAGGUUUGGCACCUCGAUGUCGGAAAGCAAAAAGGGUUCUUAUC